AUCAUAGUCCCUCUGUCCCGAAUUACUUGUGGCAGAAAUGGAUGUAUCUAGAACUAAAACUACGUCUAGAUACAUACAUUUCUGCGACAAGUAAUUCAGGACGGAGGGAGUACUAU
rfam:Triticum aestivum genome assembly, contig: Triticum_aestivum_CS42_TGACv1_scaffold_405497_5BL